UUGAAACUCAAAGAAAUUGACGGGGACCCGCACAAGCAGUGGAGCAUGUGGUUUAAUUCGAAGCAACGCGAAGAGCCUUACCAAGACUUGACAUCGCAUGAUCGCCUAAGAGAUUAGGUUUUCCCUUCGGGGACAUGUAGACAGGUGGUGCAUGGUUGUCGUCAGCUCGUGUCGUGAGAUGUUGGGUUAAGUCCCGCAACGAGCGCAACCCUUAUAACUAGUUGCCAAUAUUAAGUUAGGAACUCUAGUUAGACUGCCGUGGAUAACACGGAGGAAGGUGGGGAUGACGUCAAAUCAUCAUGCCCCUUACGUCUUGGGCUACACACGUGCUACAAUGGCUAUUACAAAGAGCAGCGAGCUGGUAACAGUAAGCGAAUCUCAAAAAGAUAGUCUCAGUUCGGACUGUGGGCUGCAACCCGCCCACACGAAGUCGGAGUUGCUAGUAAUCCCGAAUCAGAAUGUCGGGGUGAAUGCGUUCUCGGGUCUUGUACACACCGCCCGUCACGCCAUGGGAGUUGGGAGUACCC
rnacentral:rRNA from 1 species